rnacentral:rRNA from 1 species
ACGGAGGGGACUAGCGUUGUUCGGAAUUACUGGGCGUAAAGCGUGCGUAGGCGGGCUGGAAAGUCAGAGGUGAAAUCCCGGGGCUCAACCCCGGAACUGCCUUUGAAACUUCCAGUCUUGAGUCCGGAAGAGGUGAGUGGAAUUCCGAGUGUAGAGGUGAAAUUCGUAGAUAUUCGGAAGAACACCAGUGGCGAAGGCGGCUCACUGGUCCGGUACUGACGCUGAGGUACGAAAGCGUGGGGAGCAAACAGG